CACCAGCAAAUGAGAAACUGCAGGAAGACUGCAGACCUUUUUUUUUUUUGAGUUUAGAUUGUGACUGAAAAUUAAAAAUCCUUCCACUUUCUUGGAGGCCUAAAUUUGCUCAAGUGUCAGUCUGUUUGCUUUUCACUUGUCUUUCGUGGCUUAGUCAUGCUAGUUCUUUAAUUAUCAAAGUUAUUUGUGUUUAAACAAUUUGUCUCUCUCUUCCUGUUUGAUCCUUCAGAGAUUCUUAAAAUGCAGCUGCUUAGAAACUGCUAUUUUUAUUGAAACACCUGAUGCAUUAAUAUACAGGGCCUUAUGUUUGUUCCUUCCCCUCUAGGGAUGUUGCAUUGCUUUGCCACAAGGAAAAUAAAAUAGUAUGUCUCCACCUUUAAAAUUCCAUUUGGUAUAAUUGUUACUUUAAGCUGCCUUCACACAUCUGCUGAUCCACAAAGGAAAAAUAUGGGACUAUGUGCAAGGCUAGAAGGAAAGCAUUUGAUACUUUUGCUUGGACACUUCUAUGCUAAGUAUUUCCUGCCACCACUGAGCAGGCUACCUCAGUGAGGCCUUGUACUUUAGGGAAGAUGUCUGCUGACUUUCAACCUAAUUAGUCAAAGGAGAAAAAGAAAAAUGUUAGACUGAAAUCUGACCUUCAUCUAACCAAACAACUUUCAAGGUAAGUAAUUUGAAGCCCUUAAUGAAUCUCUUCAUGUUAACAUCUUAAUGCUUUUCACUUAAUGA
rnacentral:lncRNA from 1 species